CGGGGUGUAGCGCAGCCCGGUUAGCGCACCUGGUUUGGGACCAGGGGGUCGCAGGUUCGAAUCCUGCUACCCCGACCA
rnacentral:tRNA from 1 species